rnacentral:tRNA from 1 species
UUUAUGAAUUAAGUAUAAUGUAUAUUUCAUUUACAAUGAUAAGGCCUAUUUAAUAGAAUUCAUAUUUAUUU